rnacentral:lncRNA from 1 species
AUGGGUUGUAGAAGGUUGAGGCUAGGAGAGAUGACCCUACAUAUAGGUAAUGGAGCAAAAGUUACUGCUGUGGCCAUAUGGACCUAUCCUCUUAGACUGACAUCUUAUUUCUAUCUAGAACUAAGAAACUGUUACUAUGUACGUAAUAUGAGUAAAAAUUUGAUUUUUGUUUCAUGCUUAGCAUAGGAUGAUUAUGAAAUUAAUUUCAAUAAGGACUAUUGUACCAUUUAUUUUGAAAAUA